UGGAAAGCACCCAAGUGCCCCCUGUCUGCGAAGUCAGAUCCUGGGCCCCCGGCGCACCGGGUGUCUCCGGGCUUCCGCAGGAGGCACCCUGAAGGAAGAGGCGCCCCCACACCAAGAAGGAGGUCUGGGGUGCCAAAUGCGGCUCAAGUCACUUCUCAAUGAGCUCAGCCACUACGCUGGGAAAUAUUACCCUACUUCACAGACAGUGUUGCUCAAAGUCACGCUACUGGCUAGAUUUGAAUCUAGAUUUUUUUUUUUUUCUUAAUGCCACUGAAGAGACAAUAUGACAACCAGGAAGAAACAUGCAAAAAGAACGAAGUAGUAUCCAUAAUACUACUACAAAAUGCAACUUUUCAAACAUGAAACCUUCCGCCUAUAUGCAAGUCUUUACAUAGUUGCAACCACACAUCCUCUUUUGUGUUUGCUACCAUCACUAACAUUUGUUUUGUUCACUUU